AGUGAACGCUGGCGGUAGGCCUAACACAUGCAAGUCGAACGGCAGCACAGUAAGAGCUUGCUCUUACGGGUGGCGAGUGGCGGACGGGUGAGGAAUACAUCGGAAUCUACUUUUUCGUGGGGGAUAACGUAGGGAAACUUACGCUAAUACCGCAUACGACCUACGGGUGAAAGCAGGGGAGCUUCGGACCUUGCGCGAUUGAAUGAGCCGAUGUCGGAUUACCUAGUUGGCGGGGUGAAGGCCCACCAAGGCGACGAUCCGUAGCUGGUCUGAGAGGAUGAUCCGCCACACUGGAACUGAGACACGGUCGAGACUCCUACGGGAGGCAGCAGUGGGGAAUAUUGGACAAUGGGCGCAAGCCUGAUCCAGCCAUACCGCGUGGGUGAAGAAGGCCUCCGGGUUGUAAAGCCCUUUUGUUGGGAAAGAAAAGCAGCAGGUUAAUACCCCGAUGUUCUGACGGUACCCAAAGAAUAAGCACCGGCUAACUUCGUG
rnacentral:rRNA from 1 species